rnacentral:rRNA from 1 species
AACGAACGCUGGCGGCAGGCCUAACACAUGCAAGUCGAGCGAGGACUUCGGUCCUAGUGGCGGACGGGUGAGUAACGCGUGGGAACGUGCCCUUUGCUACGGAAUACCUCUGGGAAACUGGGAGUAAUACCGGAUGAGCCCUUAGGGGGAAAGAUUUAUCGGCGCAGGAUCGGCCCGCGUUGGAUUAGGUAGUUGGUGCGGUAAUGGCCUACCAAGCCGUCGAUUCAUAGCUGGUUUGGGAGGAUGAUUAGCCACACUGGGACUGAGACACGGCCCAGACUCGUACGGAGGGCAGCAGUGGGGAGUCCAAGACGAGGGGGGGAACCCUGAUCUACCCAUGCCGGGUGAGCGAUGAAGGCCUUAGGGAUGUAAAGCUCUUUCAGCUGGGAAGAUAAUGACGGUACCAGCAGAAGAAGCCCCGGCUAACUCCGUG